UACGAGGGGGGCGAGCGUUGUUCGGAAUUAUUGGGCGUAAAGGGUGCGUAGGCGGUUUGGUAAGCCUUGUGUGAAAUCUCAGAGCUCAACUCUGAAACUGCACUCGAUACUGCUUUGCUUGAGGACUGGAGAGGAGAUUGGAAUUCACGGUGUAGCAGUGAAAUGCGUAGAUAUCGUGAGGAAGACCAGUGGCGAAGGCGGAUCUCUGGACAGUUCCUGACGCUGAGGCGCGAAGUCCAGGGGAGCAAAC
rnacentral:rRNA from 1 species